CUGUAAUUUAUCAUAUUAAUUUGGGCUACCAGUAGCAUCGUUUAGAGAUUGUGCAAAUUGAGUUCACAAAUAUCACAGCUUUGGAAGAUCAAGAAGUGGUUUUGAACAUAGAGAUUCCAGGGAAAAAAAAUUCUGUGGGCUUUUUGCCAGAAUUACAACAUUUCUACAAAGGAUAAAAGAAUAAAGUCACCCAGCAAGAGGAACCCUGGUUUCUAGAGCUUGCCUUAUGGAGUGGGGGGUUAGAAUCAGGAACUGCGCUGACCACAGAGGAUCGGGCAACAUCGACUGUGUGCUGUUUGCUAACUGAAAGUUCAGAGGGAGACAGUUUGGCCCCUCCUUGGACCUCUGGCUGAGAGAAGGGAUGUACACGGAGUGGCACCAACACACCCAGGCAGACGCUCACAUUAUGAAACAUAAAUGCAGAGUGAACAAAGAGUGUUGCAAAUCACUCAGCUUGGCUAGCUGCUGCCAAAGCAAUUCAGUACUCCUCAUGAAGCCUGCUCUGCAUUCCAGAAAACAAAAAAAAUAGAGGCCUGAUAAGAUAACCAGGUAAUUAAUGAAGCAAUUUCCCCUUCCUGCUCACAUGCCUGUAUUUAUUUUUUAAUAUAAAUUAUCAUCAUCUUAAGCAAUAAGUACACUAUCUUCCUGUAACCUUUAAGAACUUAGCCAAAUGGAGCAGAA